rnacentral:rRNA from 1 species
CAGUAGCCGCGGUAACACGGAGGGUGCAAGCGUUAAUCGGAAUUACUGGGCGUAAAGCGCACGCAGGCGGUCUGACAAGUCAGAUGUGAAAUCCCCGGGCUUAACCUGGGAACUGCAUUUGAAACUGUCAGGCUGGAGUCUUGUAGAGGGGGGUGGAAUUCCAGGUGUAGCGGCGAAAUGCGUAGAGAUCUGGAGGAAUACCGGUGGCGAAGGCGGCCCCCUGGACAAAGACUGACGCUCAGGUGCGAAAGCGUGGGGAGCAAACAGGAUUAGAUACCCGUGUAGUCCCUGUCUCUUAUAC